rnacentral:ncRNA from 1 species
UAGGUAGGCGUCGGUGACUGCUAUGGCAUGCCGAUCAAUCACUCCGUGGCCGCAGGUCUGGGCGGUAUCCGCACGGCGGGAGAUCUCGUC